rnacentral:hammerhead_ribozyme from 1 species
GUACUGCUGAAGAGUCCCAAACUAGAACGAAAACAGCUGUCCAGUAC